rnacentral:rRNA from 1 species
UGCGUAGGGUCCGAGCGUUGUCCGGAAUUACUGGGCGUAAAGAGCUCGUAGGUGGUUUGUCGCGUUGUUCGUGAAAACUCACAGCUUAACUGUGGGCGUGCGGGCGAUACGGGCAGACUUGAGUACUGCAGGGGAGACUGGAAUUCCUGGUGUAGCGGUGGAAUGCGCAGAUAUCAGGAGGAACACCGGUGGCGAAGGCGGGUCUCUGGGCAGUAACUGACGCUGAGGAGCGAAAGCGUGGGGAGCGAACAGG